AUUUGCUAAUCCAACAGCAUGGAAUUAUCCUCAAGCAAUAUGAAAUAUAUUUGCAUGCUGAAAGGCGAAUUGCAAAUGAUCCUCAAUCUUAGGGAGAUUGGACCCCGAAUAAACAAGCCUGUAGCUUUACUGCUCUCAAUUGAUCUAAGGGGAAAUCGUCUUUCUGGACAAAUCCCAGACGAGAUUGGUGAUUGUUCUGCUUUGACAAGCUUGGAUUUUUCCUUCAACGAGCUGUAUGGGGAUAUUCCCUUUUCAAUCUCCAAGCUGAAACAACUAGAAUUCUUGAUCUUGAAAAAUAAUCAGUUGAUUGGUCCAAUUCCUUCUACACUAUCUCAGAUUCCUAACUUGAAAAAACUGUACCAUUCCAGUGACUUGGCACAAAAUAGUUUGAGCGGAGAAAUACCAAGACUCAUAUAUUGGAAUGAAGUACUGCAAUAUUUGGGUUUGCGUGGGAACAAGUUGGUUGGAACUCUCUCACCAAAUAUGUGUCAGCUCACGGGCCUGUGGUACUUUUGUCUGUUCAGUGAUGUCCGAAACAACAGCUUGACUGGUUCUAUUCCAGAGAAUAUUGGAAAUUGUACAGCCUUCCAGGUUUUGGAUUUGUCGUAUAAUCAGUUGACUGGUGAGAUUCCCUUCAAUAUCGGUUUCUUGCAAGUGGAUACCUUUGGAACAAAAAGAAGCUCGUCGAGUCACACAGAGGGAAGCUUAUCAAAAGAGAAAGCAAGAAAAGCAGCUACAUCAAGGUCUUCUAUAAACCAACAAGAAAGUGUAGAAGAAGUUCCAGUUUCAUGUGAGCUGCUGCAAAACAGUGACUACAAUAACCAGCAGCCUAUUGUUAUUGAGCCACUUCUACAACAGAAUGGAAAAAAAGGGCUGAUAGGCAACAAUGUAUUGCUAUCGAACCAGUUGUACAACAAAAUUCCAAUGAUAACUUUUUGUUUAAAGUCAUUACUCAGUCAGAAGGCAAGCUAAAGAAACAUGUUUCUGUAUUGUCAACAUUUGAAGAAGGUAUAUCUAUAAUAAUACCUCGGUAUACAAUGAAAGCCAGUGUUUCACAUGAUGUGAAAAAUCCUCCUAGAGGAAGCAGAGAAAUAGGAUAUGGA